ACUUUUGGGAUAGCAUUGGAAAUGUAAAAGAAAUAAAUACCCAAUAAAAAAAUAUUUAUUUUCUUACUGCUAAAAAAAAAAAGAAUACCUCAGUGUAGCCUGCUUCCCGUCUUAGACUUGUAGGACAGCGGUCCUCUGCCUUAGACUCCCUUCAGCUCAGUUUGGUUUUGUUAGAAGUUCAUGUUUAUUAGCUUCUAAGUUUAUCGUUGUUCUUAUUUUGUGGAGAUUCACUUAAAGUCUUGGUAGUCUACAUUGGCUGAGGUAGACCUCACCUCCGACCUUGGCCUGGGUCCUUUGGUUUAGGUGCUGAUUCACCUUUGUUCUUUCCUUCUUUUGGGCAUCCUUUUUUCCUCCCCAACUCUCAGCAUUUUUUCCAAAUGUUUAUUUGAAUUAACCUUUUUUAAAUUUUAAGCUAUUUUUGCAAAUUUUCCUCAAGUAUAUACAUUAACAUUAGAAUAUAUUUGGACUGCAAGAAAGCUAUUUUACUUUUCUUUUUUGUUUUUUGUUUGGUUUUGGACAGGAUCUUCUUACGUAGCUUUGACAGGUCUCCUAUGCUUGGAUUACAGGCUUAUGUUACCAUGCUAGUCCAUGUGUAUGCAUGUUUAUGUGUGUUUGCAUACUCUCUGCCUCCUCAGUCAUUAAAAGGAUAUCAUGACAAACUGCCCCUCCCUCCUAGCAUAUCUUCUUCUUUACAAGGCAAGUACUUUACCAAUUGACCUUUCUACCCAGCUAUUUAAUUUCCUGUCUUUAAAAGUAGAUUUUCUUUGUAUUUUUCUUUCAGAACAAUAUGUUACAAUGCAAAGAAUGUUAAAACAGAUGGAAACCCACAUUUGGGCUGGGGAGUUGGUUCAGUGGUUAGAGUAUGUACUACUCUUUUGGAGGACCCAUGUCAGGUGGCUCACAACUGUCUGUCUGUAACUCUAGCUUCAGAGCAUCCAGCUUCCUCUCUUGGCUUUCUGAGGAUACCUGCAUCAAAGUGCACAUCCACCUACACAGACACACAGACACAUAUUUAAAAUAAGGCACAACUUGAGAAGAAAAUUAACUCCAUUGUUAGGCCAGCCACUAGACUAUUGUGAAAUUACUGUUCAAAUAACAUUUUGAAAGUAUUCAUCAAAUUAUUUUUAUUAAUAAUGAAUUUAUUGUUAAUGAGUUAGCAUAUAUUAAAUUACUUAGCUUUAGUUUAUUAUAUGGAAAAAUCUUUAGGCAAAGAAGCUUAAGAUGCAGUUUCCUAGCAAAGGCACACAUGACUCAGAUGUAACAAUAAUUACUGCACAAUAAUUGAGUGUAUAAAAGCUUUGUGCUUAGAGAAGAGUGAGUUUUUAUUUCUUGAGUGGAAGCCAAAAGGUUUCAUUAAGGAGGCAAAUAUUAAACUUAGGUGUAGACUUUGUAGAAGUGGGGCUGGGAAGGAGAGGGAAGGGGGUAGUAAGGAUAAGGGGAUUGGAUGGGCAGUUACGGGGGAAGAGAUACACUUUUCACAGUUCCUGUAAAUUAACUGAAGAGGAGGCAGGACUUCCAAGCUUACUUCAUGAGCCAGUUGUCAAGCUGACACUAAAGAC
rnacentral:lncRNA from 1 species